rnacentral:rRNA from 1 species
UACGAAGGGGGCUAGCGUUGCUCGGAAUUACUGGGCGUAAAGCGCACGUAGGCGGUCUUUUAAGUCGGGGGUGAAAUCCUGGAGCUCAACUCCAGAACUGCCUUCGAUACUGGAAGACUUGAGUCCGGGAGAGGUGAGUGGAACUGCGAGUGUAGAGGUGAAAUUCGUAGAUAUUCGCAAGAACACCAGUGGCGAAGGCGGCUCACUGGCCCGGUACUGACGCUGAGGUGGCGAAAAGCGUGGGGAGCAACAGGG